UACAGAGGGUGCAAGCGUUGUUCGGAAUUACUGGGCGUAAAGCGCACGUAGGCGGAUCGUUAAGUCGGGGGUGAAAUCCUGGAGCUCAACUCCAGAACUGCCUUCGAUACUGGCGAUCUCGAGUCCGGAAGAGGUGAGUGGAACUCCUAGUGUAGAGGUGGAAUUCGUAGAUAUUAGGAAGAACACCAGUGGCGAAGGCGACUCACUGGUCCGGUACUGACGCUGAGGUGCGAAAGCGUGGGGAGCAAACAGG
rnacentral:rRNA from 1 species